AUGUCGGCGGAAGACUCGGACCACGGCGGCGCCGUCCACGUCCUCCUGCUCCCGUACCCGAGCCAGGGCCACAUCAACCCGUUCCUCCAGUUCGGCAAGCGACUCGCCUCCCACGCCGGCGUCCGCUGCACGCUCGCCGUCACGCGCUAUCUGCUUGGCCAGGGCCGGGACCCGUGCCCGGGCGCCGUCCACCUCGCCGAGAUCUCCGACGGCUUCGACUGCGGCGGCUUCGCCGAGGCCGCCGGCGACGUCGCCGCGUACCUCGCCCGGCUGGAGUCCGUCGGCUCCCGCACCGUCGACGAGUUGCUGCGGUCUGAGGCGGAGAAGGGCCGGCCCGUGCGCGCCGUCGUGUACGACGCGUUACUGCAGCCGUGGGCGCCAAGCGUGGCGCGGCGGCACGGCGCUGCGUGCGCGUCCCUCUUCACGCAGGCGCCCGCAGUGAACGUAGCCUACGCGCACGCCGGGGCUGGGCGGCUGACAGUGCCGGUUGUAGCUGGCACGGUGCCGCCGGAGCUUCUCGGGCUGCCGGCCGGGCUUGGACCGGACGAUGUGCCGUCAUUCUUGGGCAAACCCGACGAGUGCCCUGCGUCCCUGGACCUGCUGGUGACUGGUGAGACAGAAUCGGAGUACAUGGCGUCGAUGUGCGGGGCCAAGACGGUGGGCCCGACGGUGCCGUCGGCGUACCUCGACAACCGCCUGCCGGACGACGCGUCCUACGGCUUCCACCUGCACACGCCGACGACGGCCGCGACCAAGGCGUGGCUGGACGCCCGGCCGGCGCGCUCCGUCGCGUACGUCUCCUUCGGCAGCAUCGCCGCGCUGGGGCUGGAGCAGAUGGCGGAGGUGGCGGAGGGCCUUUUCAACACCGGCGCGCCAUUCCUGUGGGUGGUCAGGGCCUCGGAGACGUCCAAGAUCCCGGACGGCUUCGCCGACAAGGUGGGAGAGAACGGGCUGAUCGUGCCGUGGACGGCGCAGCUGGAGGUGCUGGCGCACGGCGCCGUGGGGUGCUUCGUGACGCACUGCGGGUGGAACUCGACAACGGAGGCGCUGAGCGCCGGGGUGCCGAUGGUGGCGGUGCCGCACUGGUCGGACCAGCCGACGAACGCCAAGUACAUCGAGGACGUGUGGCGCGUCGGCGCGCGCGCGCGGCCGGACGCGGGUGGGGUGGUGAGGCGGGAGGAGGUGGAGCGGUGCGUGAAGGAGGUGAUGGGGAGCGAGCAGUACCGGACGAGGGCGGCGGAGUGGAGUGGGAAGACGAAGGCGGCCAUGAGCGAAGGCGGGAGCUCCGACUGCAACAUCGUGGAGUUUCUCCGUGGACUCGGGUCGAGGAAAUCCGAGCGGUCCGGAGCGGCGGAAGAUCUGUAG
rnacentral:rRNA from 1 species